rnacentral:rRNA from 1 species
AUUGAACGCUGGCGGCAUGCUUUACACAUGCAAGUCGGACGGCAGCACAGAGAAGCUUGCUUCUUGGGUGGCGAGUGGCGAACGGGUGAGUAAUAUAUCGGAACGUACCGAGUAAUGGGGGAUAACUAAUCGAAAGAUUAGCUAAUACCGCAUAUUCUCUGAGGAGGAAAGCAGGGGACCUUCGGGCCUUGCGUUAUUUGAGCGGCCGAUAUCUGAUUAGCUAGUUGGUGGGGUAAAGGCCUACCAAGGCGACGAUCAGUAGCGGGUCUGAGAGGAUGAUCCGCCACACUGGGACUGAGACACGGCCCAGACUCCUACGGGAGGCAGCAGUGGGGAAUUUUGGACAAUGGGCGCAAGCCUGAUCCAGCCAUGCCGCGUGUCUGAAGAAGGCCUUCGGGUUGUAAAGGACUUUUGUCAGGGAAGAAAAGGACAGGGUUAAUACCCCUGUCUGAUGAC